AAGUCGUAACAAGGUUUCCGUAGGUGAACCUGCGGAAGGAUCAUUAUUACGUUAUCCAAACGUCAAACCCAAUUGUGAAUUAGUUAAUCAGAAUGUGUGAUGAGAUUUUGGCAACAAAGAGUUCAUGGCCUUUGUUUAGGUCUUUGUUGGUCCUAAUCAGUUUUAUUACUGAUUAGCUCAUUCCACUUCUGUUCAAAAUGAAAUUCCUGCCAUGAACAAUUUCGACCUUUAUCAAUUUACCCCAUGUACAAACUAUUGAACUAAUAUUUUGGUCAGACUUAACCGUUUGACUCAAACAUUCUGAAAUUAAGAAAACAACUCUUAACAACGGAUAUCUUGGUUCUC
rnacentral:misc_RNA from 1 species